rnacentral:rRNA from 1 species
UGUUAGACGAAUAACCUGGAAAGGUUAAUCAUAGAAGGUAAUAAUCCUGUAGUCGAAAACAAAUUCUCUCUUGAGUGGAUCCUGAGUACGACGGAGCACGUGAAAUUCCGUCGGAAUCUGGGAGGACCAUCUCCUAAGGCUAAAUACUCUCUAGUGACCGAUAGUGAACCAGUACCGUGAGGGAAAGGUGAAAAGUACCCCGGAAGGGGAGUGAAAGAGAACUUGAAACCGUGUGCUUACAAGUAGUCAGAGCCCGUUAAUGGGUGAUGGCGUGCCUUUUGUAGAAUGAACCGGCGAGUUACGAUCUGAUGCAAGGUUAAGCAGAAAAUGUGGAGCCGUAGCGAAAGCGAGUCUGAAUAGGGCGAAUGAGUAUUUGGUCGUAGACCCGAAACCAGGUGAUCUACCCUUGGUCAGGUUGAAGUUCAGGUAACACUGAAUGGAGGACCGAACCGACUUACGUUGAAAAGUGAGCGGAUGAACUGAGGGUAGCGGAGAAAUUCCAAUCGAACUUGGAGAUAGCUGGUUCUCUCCGAAAUAGCUUUAGGGCUAGCCUCAAGUGAUGAUUAUUGGAGGUAGAGCACUGUUUGGACGAGGGGCCCCUCUCGGGUUACCGAAUUCAGACAAACUCCGAAUGCCAAAUAAUUUAACUUGGGAGUCAGAAUGUGGGUGAUAAGGUCCAUAUUCGAAAGGGAAACAGCCCAGACCACCAGCUAAGGUCCCAAAAUAUAUGUUAAGUGGAAAAGGAUGUGGCGUUGCCCAGACAACUAGGAUGUUGGCUUAGAAGCAGCCAUCAUUUAAAGAGUGCGUAAUAGCUCACUAGUCGAGUGACACUGCGCCGAAAAUGUACCGGGGCUAAACAUAUUACCGAAGCUGUGGAUUGUCCUUUGGACAAUGGUAGGAGAGCGUUCUAAGGGCGUUGAAGCAUGAUCGCAAGGACAUGUGGAGCGCUUAGAAGUGAGAAUGCCGGUGUGAGUAGCGAAAGACGGGUGAGAAUCCCGUCCACCGAUUGACUAAGGUUUCCAGAGGAAGGCUCGUCCGCUCUGGGUUAGUCGGGUCCUAAGCUGAGGCCGACAGGCGUAGGCGAUGGAUAACAGGUUGAUAUUCCUGUACCACCAUUAUUCGUUUUAAGCGAUGGGGGGACGCAGUAGGAUAGGCGAAGCGUGCUGUUGGAGUGCACGUCCAAGCAGUGAGAUUGAGUGUUAGGCAAAUCCGGCACUCUUAAGAUUGAGCUGUGAUGGGGAGAGGAACUUGUUCCUCGAGUCGUUGAUUUCACACUGCCGAGAAAAGCCUCUAGCUAGAAUAACGGUGCCCGUACCGCAAACCGACACAGGUAGUCAAGAUGAGAAUUCUAAGGUGAGCGAGCGAACUCUCGUUAAGGAACUCGGCAAAAUGACCCCGUAACUUCGGGAGAAGGGGUGCUCUUUGGGGUUCACGCUCUGAAGAGCCGCAGUGAAUAGGCCCAAGCGACUGUUUAUCAAAAACACAGGUCUCUGCUAAACCGUAAGGUGACGUAUAGGGGCUGACGCCUGCCCGGUGCUGGAAGGUUAAGAGGAGUGGUUAGCGCAAGCGAAGCUACGAAUCGAAGCCCCAGUAAACGGCGGCCGUAACUAUAACGGUCCUAAGGUAGCGAAAUUCCUUGUCGGGUAAGUUCCGACCCGCACGAAAGGCGUAACGAUUUGGGCACUGUCUCAACGAGAGACUCGGUGAAAUCAUAGUACCGGUGAAGAUGCCGGUUACCCGCGACAGGACGGAAAGACCCCGUGGAGCUUUACUGUAGCCUGAUAUUGAAAUUCGGUACAGUUUGUACAGGAUAGGUAGGAGCCUUAGAAGCGUGAGCGCUAGCUUA